CAUGAAAUUUAUGAACACGAAGAGUCUGAAGAAGAAGUUUACGAAUAUGAAAGUCAUGUUCCAAAACGUGCACCCGCCCAAGCUUAUGAAUAUGUAAAAGCACCUUAUAAACGUCCACCCACCGCCAUAUAUGGAACUGAAUUAAAGCGCACGCGCGACACCACUAUCAAAUCUUAUAAACCACCAUCAUUUGGAAUUACUAAGAAAUAUAAAUAAAAAUAAGUCCUAAUAAUAAAAUUGUUAAAGAAAUGCUAAUAAUCGAAUCCCAAAAUAUAACAGUAUAUAACGUAUACAUAACUGGUAUAUGAAAAUGUAAAUGGCUAUAACAAUACCAAUAACCACGCAAAGGUGGGCAUAAAAUGUAAAACAAAAAUCGUCUAAUCUAUUGAGCCAACAUAACCGAAAUAUGAAAUAUAAUUACGUACAUAUAACACCUAAUAAACCUAAUAAACGUAUUGUUUAUCGUUGCAUUAAAUAUAUACAUACCUACCUACUAAAAUCAGAAUUUAGUUUCUUUUUACAGCUAAUGACGUAAGUAUGGGUGCGCUAAGAAAUGCAUCAAGCCAAAGCAUCAGUCUCUUUAACUUCUAAACUACAACUGAUGGAAAUGCCUUAUUUAGGCAAUUUCCUUCUAAUUAUGAAUUUAACCGUGGUUACGCACAUUGGGCAUUCCCAUCAAUUACAGUUUAGAAAUAAAAGCGUCUGAUGCUUUGGCUUGAUGCAUUUCUGAACACACCCAUGAUAACUUGUUUGUAACGUUUAUUCCACACGAAGUCCAAAUAAAUGUCGCACAAAAUAA
rnacentral:lncRNA from 1 species